rnacentral:tRNA from 1 species
GGGUGUUUAGCUCAGUGGGAGAGCGCUUCCUUCACACGGAAGAGGUCGAGGGUUCGAAACCCCCAACACCCACCA